rnacentral:rRNA from 1 species
UACGUAGGGGGCAAGCGUUGUCCGGAUUUAUUGGGCGUAAAGCGCUCGCAGGUGGUUCGUCGCGUCGUGCGUGAAAGACCCCGGCUCAACUGGGGGAGGUCGUGCGAUACGGGCGGACUGGAGGCCAGUAGGGGGAUGCGGAAUUCCGGGUGUAGUGGUGGAAUGCGUAGAGAUCCGGAGGAACACCAGCGGCGAAGGCGGCCUUCUGGACCAAUACUGACGCUCAUGCACGAAAGCGUGGGGAGCAAACAGG